rnacentral:rRNA from 1 species
AGUUUGAUUAUGGCUCAGAUUGAACGCUGGCGGCGUGCUUAACACAUGCAAGUCGCGCGUGAAAGGACUUCGGUCCGAGUAAAGCGGCGCACGGGUGAGUAACGCGUGGAUGAUCUACCCAUGAGUUGGGAAUAACGGCUGGAAACGGUCGCUAAUACCGAAUACGCUCCGAUUUCAUCUUCGGGGGAAAGGUGGCCUCUGCUUGCAAGCUACUGCUCAUGGAUGAGUCCGCGUCCCAUUAGCUAGUUGGUGGGGUAACGGCCCACCAAGGCGACGAUGGGUAGCCGGUCUGAGAGGAUGACCGGCCACACUGGGACUGGAACACGGCCCAGACUCCUACGGGAGGCAGCAGUGGGGAAUAUUGCGCAAUGGGCGAAAGCCUGACGCAGCGACGCCGCGUGAAGGGAUGAAGGUCCUCGGAUCGUAAACCUCUGUCAGGAGGGAAGAACCGCCACGGUGCUAAUCAGCCGUGGUCUGACGGUACCUCCAAAGGAAGCACCGGCUAACUCCGUGCCAGCCGCUGC